rnacentral:tRNA from 1 species
AUUUAUAUAGUUUAAAAUAAAACAUUAUAUUUUAAUUGUAAUAUAUAUAUAUAUAUAUAUUUUUUAUAUAUA